rnacentral:rRNA from 1 species
UACGGAGGGUGCAAGCGUUAAUCGGAAUUACUGGGCGUAAAGCGCACGCAGGUGGCUGAGUCAGUCGAUUGUGAAAGCCCUGGGCUUAACCUGGGAAUUGCAGUCGAUACUACUCAGCUAGAGUAUGGGAGAGGGUAGUGGAAUUCCCGGUGUAGCGGUGAAAUGCGUAGAUAUCAGGAAGAACACCCGUGGCGAAGGCGGUUCUCUGGGACGGUACUGACGCUGAGACGCGAAAGCGUGGGGAGCAAACAGG